UUUACCUGGUUUGUCCUGCCAGUAGUCAUAUGCUUGUCUCAAAGAUUAAGCCAUGCAUGUCUAAGUACGAGCCUUCCUUAGGGUGAAACCGCAAACGGCUCAUUAAAUCAGUCAUAAUUAAUUGGAUGGCGGUUAUCCCCUUACUCGGAUAACUGUGGCAAUUCUAGAGCUAAUACGUGCGAUUGAGCUCCGACCCCGGGGGAGGAACUUUUAAUUUUUUAAUCGCUUUCUCCGCUCGGGGGAAGGGCGCAGUUAUUAGAAUCAUAAACCGAGGCGGACUCCCGAGUCCGCGGAUGCACUUGGUUAUGGUGACUCUGGAUAACGUUGCCAAGCGCUCAGGCCUCAGAGCCGGCGCUGCAUCUUUUCGAGUGACUGCCCUAUCAGCUUUCGAUCGUAGGAUAUAGGCUUACGAUGGCUGUUACGGGUAACGGGGAAUCAGGGUUCGAUUCCGGAGAGGGAGCCUGAGAAACGGCUACCACAUCUAAGGAAGGCAGCAGGCACGCAAAUUACCCAAUCCCAGUUCGGGGAGGUAGUGACGAAAAAUACCGAUGCGGGACUCAUCCGAGGCCUCGCAAUCGGAAUGAGUCUCCUUUAAAAAAGGGAGCGAGGAUCUAUCGGAGGGCAAGUCUGGUGCCAGCAGCCGCGGUAAUUCCAGCUCCUAUAGCGUAUAUUAAAGUUGCUGCGGUUAAAAAGCUCGUAGUUGGAAUUUCGGUCUGUUCCGGAGGCCCACCUAGGACGCGACCGCGCCUCGUUCAUUCGCCCCNNUUCNUCNCUUCCAGUNGACUACNNGCCNUUUUCCANNGACGAGCUAUUCCUACACGACAGCUUCUCACANCUACCAAAUUGAAAANACNUNAGCGUCUGGGGUUCCNUNGNACGAUCGCGGCNGAGGCGGCGUCUGUUCAUUUUNCCGUANUUCGAAAANAGGNGGNGGAUNAACAUGGGCGAUCGCGGCGGNGGCGGCGUUUUAGGUUUUCGCGCCCGGUGGUGGAUAAACCUUUCCGGUUACAGACUCGGUAUGUAAAACGAUUCGUUGGCGCAUACGGGGUGCUCUUUACCGAGUGUCUCGCGUGGCCGACGACGAUCACUUUGAACAAAGUAAAGUGCUCAAAGCAGGCAGUAACUUUAACACGCUUGAAUAGAAAUGCAUUGAAUGAUGGAAUAAGACCUCGGUCCCGAUAUUUGUUUUUUAUUUUUUUCUCGGUUUUUCCGGGACCCGAGGUAAUGAUUAACGGAGGCGGACGGGGGCAUUAGUAUUGCGGCGCGAGGGGUGAAAUCCAGUGACCGUCGCAAGACUACCUACUGCGAAAGCAUUUGCCAAGAACGCUUUCAUUAAUCAAGAACGAAAGUUAGAGGAUCGAAGGCGAUCAGAUACCGCCCUAGUUCUAACCAUAAACUAUGCCAACUAGCGAUACGCGUACAGUCAUUCCCAAGACUGCGCGGGAAGCUCCCGGGAAACCAAAGUCUUUGGGUUCCGGGGGUAGUAUGGUUGCAAAGCUGAAACUUAAAGGAAUUGACGGAAGGGCACCACCAGGAGUGGAGCCUGCGGCUUAAUUUGACUCAACACGGGAAACCUCACCAGGCCCGGACACCGGAAGGAUUGACAGAUUGAGAGCUCUUUCUCGAUUCGGUGGUUGGUGGUGCAUGGCCGUUCUUAGUUGGUGGAGCGAUUUGUCUGGUUAAUUCCGAUAACGAACAAGACUCUGNCCUACUAACUAGUCGGCGGAUCGUUUCCCGAGGCGGGGCUUUUACCCGAGGUGNGCGGUCGUCAGGGCGUCNCGNUCGCUUUCCCGGUUCGUUCCNCGUCNAGGUUCACCUUUUAUUCGNGCGGCGUCGUCNUCGUCNUCNUNUUNUGACGACGGAGGAGNCGUCU
rnacentral:rRNA from 1 species